rnacentral:rRNA from 1 species
UGGGGAAUAUUGGACAAUGGGGGCAACCCUGAUCCAGCCAUGCCGCGUGGGUGAUGAAGGCCUUAGGGUUGUAAAGCUCUUUCGCCGGUGAAGAUAAUGACGGUAACCGGUAAAGAAGCCCCGGCUAACUUCGUGCCAGCAGCCGCGGUAAUACGAAGGGGGCUAGCGUUGUUCGGAAUUACUGGGCGUAAAGCGCGCGUAGGCGGACUAUUAAGUCAGGGGUGAAAUCCCGGGGCUCAACCUCGGAAUUGCCUUUGAUACUGAUGGUCUUGAGUCCGAGAGAGGUGAGUGGAAUUCCUAGUGUAGAGGUGAAAUUCGUAGAUAUUAGGAAGAACACCAGUGGCGAAGGCGGCUCACUGGCUCGGUACUGACGCUGAGGCGCGAAAGCGUGGGGAGCAAACAGGAUUAGAUACCCCCGUAGUCC